rnacentral:rRNA from 1 species
AUUGAACGCUGGCGGCAGGCCUAACACAUGCAAGUCGAACGAGUGUCGCACCCGUGAGUAAUUUCUCGGAACCUGCCUGCUGGAGGGGGAUAACUCCUGUAAACGCUACCUAAUACCGCAUACCAUCAUAUGUCCCCAGGUGGGAUUAGCUAGUUGGUGGGGUAACGGCUCACCAAGGCGACGAUCCCUAGCUGGUCUGAGAGGAUGACCAGCCACACUGGAACUGAGACACGGUCCAGACUCCUACGGGAGGCAGCAGUGGGGAAUAGUGCACAAUGGGCGCAAGCCUGAUGCAGCCAUGCCGCGUGUAUGAAGAAGGCCUUCGGGUUGUAAAGUACUUUCAGCGGGGAGGCGUUAACCGAAGAAGAAGCAACGGCUAACUCCGUGCCAGCAGCCGCGGUAAUAG